rnacentral:rRNA from 1 species
AACGAACGCUGGCGGCAUGCCUAACACAUGCAAGUCGAACGAGACCUUCGGGUCUAGAGGCGCACGGGUGCGUAACGCGUGGGAAUCUGCCCUUGGGUUCGGAAUAACAGUUGGAAACGACUGCUAAUACCGGAUGAUGACGUAAGUCCAAAGAUUUAUCGCCCAGGGAUGAGCCCGCGUAGGAUUAGCUAGUUGGUGGGGUAAAGGCCUACCAAGGCGACGAUCCUUAGCUGGUCUGAGAGGAUGAUCAGCCACACUGGGACUGAUACACGGCCCAGACUCCUACGGGAGGCAGCAGUGGGGAAUAUUGGACAAUGGGCGAAAGCCUGAUCCAGCAAUGCCGCGUGAGUGAUGAAGGCCUUAGGGUUGUAAAGCUCUUUUACCCGGGAUGAUGAUGACAGUACCGGGAGAAUAAGCCCCGGCUAACUCCAUGCCAGCCGCCGCCGUAA